rnacentral:sRNA from 1 species
ACAAAACGUCUUGUCUGCAGUAUGCAUUACUCUCAGAAAACAAAAGGUGUUUAAGAUAGCACUGUACUACUACAGCAGCUGUUUAAGGAAGACAGAGCAGGCAUUGGAUAAUAUUCUUAUUAAGCUCAGGACAGUCAGCUUACCCUGAGGCGCAUUGACCACUGGGAGAGAUGUGGAUAUAGAAAUCCAAUCAUGGAUCAUUAGGAAGAAGGAAGCGUUGGAUAGGCACUCAGCAUGGUCCACCACAGGUGCAUUAAGGAUUGUGUAUUACGUUUUUUACUUAUGUGAAACACCACCUUCCCCCAUCAAGCCUGUAAGUAUGAAGUCGAGUCCCUAGUGAAUCUACUCUCUGACUUCUGUGUUUCAAGCACCCUCAUUAGCAGAGCUUAUAUAGCUUCGGAGUUGAAGAAUUUUUUUUUCCCAAAAAUUCUCUUCUCAUUUAAUAGACACCUGUCUGUAGAGUAAACUAUGCAGGCCAUAAAUGGAACAAAGAUAGUUUAGGAAAAUACAGUUUCUUAAAUAAAUUACUUUUUAAAAGUAUAUUUUCUCUCAGCUCUUCUCUCCAAAGGAG